GCCAGACUCCUACGGGAGGCAGCAGUGGGGAAUAUUGGGCAAUGGGGGAAACCCUGACCCAGCGACGCCGCGUGAGGGAAGAAGGUUUUCGGAUUGUAAACCUCUGUCCUUGGUGACGAUAAUGACGGUAGCCAAGGAGGAAGCCACGGCUAACUCCGUGCCAGCAGCCGCGGUAAUACGGAGGAUCCGAGCGUUAUCCGGAUUCAUUGGGUUUAAAGGGUGCGUAGGUUGUUUUAUAAGUUAGCGGUGAAAUGCCGAUGCUCAACAUCGGGGCUGCCGCUAAUACUGUAGGACUAGAGAUCGGAUGCAGCAGGCGGAAUGUGUAGUGUAGCGGUGAAAUGCAUAGAUAUUACACAGAACACCGAUUGCGAAGGCAGCUUGCUAGGCCGGAUCUGACACUGAUGCACGAAAGCGUGGGGAUCGAACAGGAUUAGAUCCCCCAGUA
rnacentral:rRNA from 1 species